rnacentral:rRNA from 1 species
UAGAGUUUGAUCCUGGCUCAGGACGAACGCUGGCGGCGUGCCUAAUACAUGCAAGUCGAACGCUUCUUUUCCCACCGGAGCUUGCUCCACCGGGAAAAGAGGAGUGGCGAACGGGUGAGUAACACGUGGGUAACCUGCCCAUCAGAAGGGGAUAACACUUGGAAACAGGUGCUAAUACCGUAUAACAAUCGAAACCGCAUGGUUUCGUUUUGAAAGGCGCUUUACGGUGCCGCUGAUGGAUGGACCCGCGGUGCAUUAGCUAGUUGGUGAGGUAACGGCUCACCAAGGCCACGAUGCAUAGCCGACCUGAGAGGGUGAUCGGCCACAUUGGGACUGAGACACGGCCCAAACUCCUACGGGAGGCAGCAGUAGGGAAUCUUCGGCAAUGGACGAAAGUCUGACCGAGCAACGCCGCGUGAGUGAAGAAGGUUUUCGGAUCGUAAAACUCUGUUGUUAGAGAAGAACAAGGGUGAGAGUAACUGUUCACCCCUUGACGGUAUCUAACCAGAAAGCCACGGCUAACUACGUGCCAGCAGCCGCGGUAAUACGUAGGUGGCAAGCGUUGUCCGGAUUUAUUGGGCGUAAAGCGAGCGCAGGCGGUUUCUUAAGUCUGAUGUGAAAGCCCCCGGCUCAACCGGGGAGGGUCAUUGGAAACUGGGAGACUUGAGUGCAGAAGAGGAGAGUGGAAUUCCAUGUGUAGCGGUGAAAUGCGUAGAUAUAUGGAGGAACACCAGUGGCGAAGGCGGCUCUCUGGUCUGUAACUGACGCUGAGGCUCGAAAGCGUGGGGAGCAAACAGGAUUAGAUAC